rnacentral:rRNA from 1 species
GAUGAACGCUGGCGGCGUGCCUAAUACAUGCAAGUCGAGCGAAUGGAUUAAGAGCUUGCUCUUAUGAAGUUAGCGGCGGACGGGUGAGUAACACGUGGGUAACCUGCCCAUAAGACUGGGAUAACUCCGGGAAACCGGGGCUAAUACCGGAUAACAUUUUGAACCGCAUGGUUCGAAAUUGAAAGGCGGCUUCGGCUGUCACUUAUGGAUGGACCCGCGUCGCAUUAGCUAGUUGGUGAGGUAACGGCUCACCAAGGCAACGAUGCGUAGCCGACCUGCGAGGGUGAGCGGCCGGACUGGGUCGGAGACACGGCCCAGACUCCUACGGGAGGCAGCAGUAGGGAAUCUUCCGCAAUGGACGAAAGUCUGACGGAGCAACGCCGCGUGAGUGAUGAAGGCUUUCGGGUCGUAAAACUCUGUUGUUAGGGAAGAACAAGUGCUAGUUGAAUAAGCUGGCACCUUGACGGUACCUAACCAGAAAGCCACGGCUAACUACGUGCCAGCAGCCGCCGUAA